UUUUAUGGAGAGUUUGAUCCUGGCUCAGGAUGAACGCUGGCGGCGUGCCUAAUACAUGCAAGUCGAGCGAACAGACGAGGAGCUUGCUCCUCUGACGUUAGCGGCGGACGGGUGAGUAACACGUGGAUAACCUACCUAUAAGACUGGGAUAACUUCGGGAAACCGGAGCUAAUACCGGAUAAUAUAUUGAACCGCAUGGUUCAAUAGUGAAAGACGGUUUUGCUGUCACUUAUAGAUGGAUCCGCGCCGCAUUAGCUAGUUGGUAAGGUAACGGCUUACCAAGGCAACGAUGCGUAGCCGACCUGAGAGGGUGAUCGGCCACACUGGAACUGAGACACGGUCCAGACUCCUACGGGAGGCAGCAGUAGGGAAUCUUCCGCAAUGGGCGAAAGCUUGAC
rnacentral:rRNA from 1 species